rnacentral:rRNA from 1 species
CCUAUCGGGAGGCAGCAGUGAGGAAUAUUGGUCAAUGGGCUUACGCCUGAACCAGCCAAGUCGCGUGAGGGAAGACUGCCCUAUGGGUUGUAAACCUCUUUUGUCAGGGAGCAAUUGGCGCUACGUGUAGCGUCAUCGAGAGUACCUGAAGAAAAAGCAUCGGCUAACUCCGUGCCAGCAGCCGCGGUAAUACGGAGGAUGCGAGCGUUAUCCGGUUUUAUUGGGUUUAAAGGGUGCGUAGGCGGAAUGCCAAGUCAGCGGUAAAAUCGCGGGGCUCAACCUCGCCCCGCCGUUGAAACUGGCGGUCUUGAGUUGGCGACAGGCAUGCGGAAUGCGUGGUGUAGCGGUGAAAUGCAUAGAUAUCACGAGGAACCCCGAUUGCGAAGGCAGCAUACCGGCGCCCAACUGACGCUGAAGCACGAAGGCGUGGGUAUCGAACAGGAUUAGAUACCCCGGUAGUC